GAUCCACCCGCCUCAGCCUCCCAAAGUGCUGGGAUUACAGGCAUGAGCCACCAUGCCUGGCCUCUCUGCCCCAUCUUAUAGGCACCCUGGGGCCUAGGAUGGGGCUGGGGUGCAGGGGAUGGGGAGGGAGGCUGGGCCCCCUGGAGGAUCAGUAACUCUGUUAUAUGUCUUCACUAUAAUCUCAUUUUGGGCUGCACUCUGCUUUUGUUUUUGUUUGGGAGCCUGCUUGGAGGCCAGCACUAACAGAAACAUGCAAGGGCAGAAGCAGAGCUGGCCAUCGGGAGGUGGGUGGCCUGCAGGGCCUAGCUCUGUGGCGCAUGGAUUGGUGUGUCAGUCGCCCUUCCUGGCAGCAGCUCUCAGUGAUUAGGCUUGGAGGAGCCUUGGCUUUAAGUUCUCUUUGGGGAAGGGCGGAUAUUAGUGCUUAAGAAACGCCACUCCCGAGGAAACCCACCUGGAUGUUUUUCUCUGUAACUGGCCAUUUGGAGACAGGGCCAGGCUGUGCAUAGGCUUUUGAGUUUCUCAGGUGCCUACAUGGGGCUCAAAAUGAUGAUGCAAUCAAUCCGUUUCUUGACUUUUGGGCCUGGGUCCAGCUCAGAAUGGAGGUGUGCUCCAUGGGCUUGCCUUCGGAGAAGAUGGUUAGCAGGGCUGUGGGAAGGGAUGUGUGGUGGACAGAGGUACAGGCUCCCCAAGGCUUAGAGGCUUCAGAAGCCCAUGUCAGGCACGUGGGGCCCAGGUUCAAAGCAGAGGAUGGAGAAGGGAGGGUUAAAGCCUUCCUUCUGACGUUGAUAUGUGUGUCUCAGCACUGGGACCUGGAGCAGUCGGCUUCGGAGGCCCGUUGGACUGUUGAAUAUUGAUGGUGUGGGUUUGGCUGAGGAGCAUAGGCAGGUGUGUUUGCCAUUCUUAUGUACUCAGGAGGGGUAUGAAGGGCAAGUCAGUGGCACAAUUCAAGCAAAGUGCUGCUGUUACUCGAGCAUUUGCUGUGUGCCAGGAUCUUCACACGGACAGCCUCAGUUUUCAUAGGAGUCACUUUUAGGCAUUUUAUCUCCAUUUUGCAGUUGAAGCAAUUGAUACUUAAGAUGGUAGUAUCUUUGUUUAGUGUGAAGAGCCAGGAAUUGAGUGGGGAAUGCCCUUAUGGCAGCAAGACAGUGGCACCAAGUCCUGCCUAGGUGGCUUGUCCAAUGAUCAGAGUCCAAGGCCACAUUGCUACCAAGUGGCAGAGCUGGAAUCAGCGCUACUCAGCCUCACACAUUUUGCUCCCUGUGCCUCUUCAGAACUUCGGCCUGUCACAUGUGUGCAGCUGUGGGAGCCCAGAUUGUGAGUUGAUCAAGGUCAGGGCCACACCCUGCACUUCCUGCCUGACACAGAGUAGGUGCUGGACAGACAUUUGUGUUGUGAAAGAGUGAGUGAGUGAAUGAAAGACACACCAUGGGGAUAGAAAAAUAAGGGGCAGGCCCCAGGGCGGUUGGCAGAUGUGAAAUGUGGUUUAAAGACUUGGCAGUAAAUCUGUGGCUAGGCCCCCCUUCUCCUUUCAUUCCCUUCUUCCUUCCUUCUUGGGAUUCAGAAUUGCUCUCUGGGCAGAGGGCUGCGGAGCAGGAGCGAGGCUGCAGGUGUGAGAAGGACCCCGCCGUGCCAGGGCAGCCUCAAGGAGCUGUUGAGCGAGUUGAGCCCAGAAGACAAAGGUCGCUGAAGUCCUUCCAGGAGAAGAAGAUCAAUGCCUGGGCUGAGCCUGCGGUUAACAUCUUAAUAGUAACCGGAGAGUUUCUGAGAGAUUAGGUGAUGAUAUAUACUCAGAGCUCAGACAGUUAAUUUGCAUUGUGUCCUAUAUUCCUGAAAAGUUGCUUUCAGAUUCUUAUUGAUGUGCUCACAUUUUUUGGGGUAAUUGUCCUCCUUUGACAUUAAUAACCCCCCUGUUUACUCUCAGGCUCACAUACCUCUCAGAGUCCAGGAGGCAGUGAGGGAAAGCUUUUAAUUCAAAGCCCUAUCCAUCUUCCCAACUCAGGUGAGAUGGGGACUAGAAAGUCGGUCUGGCUGAAGCUAAGUGAGGCCAGCCUUCUGGGUGUUGGGUAUCAGGUUCUGGACGGGGCUGGCAGUUGUGUGUGGGGCUCAUGGAUGGUUUUAGGCCCUUCUGCCCCCUUUGUCAGUGUGCCCUUGUGGGAAGCCGGUGCGUUUCCAGGGGAGCUGCUGGAGGCUUCUUAUGGCAUGCAGAUCAAGGAAGACCUGUAGACUACAUGCACCCUGGCGCUCUGGGAACGGGGAGCCAUGGAACGUGCGUGAAGCGGUGUGUAAAACUGGAGAGAAAAACCCUAAGGAGACCUCAUCGGACGUUCCUGUGAUAAUCUAGGCCUCAGGACAGGCAGACUGGGAUGCUUGUGUUACCCCUAACUUUAGAUUACUCUCCCACUGCUCCCCUCCUUCACUGUAGAUUCCCACAAUUUCAGUAUCAAUGUAAUUACAAUUUAGGGGCUUAGAAACUCCUGUAUUUAUUGAGAACCCACUUAAUUUACAUAUAUUGAGUUUCAA
rnacentral:lncRNA from 1 species